rnacentral:rRNA from 1 species
GACGAACGCUGGCGGCGUGCUUAACACAUGCAAGUCGAGCGGUAAGGCCUUUCGGGGUACACGAGCGGCGAACGGGUGAGUAACACGUGGGUGACCUGCCUUUAGCUUCGGGAUAAGCCUGGGAAACUGGGUCUAAUACCGGAUAUGACCUCAUGUCGCAUGGUGUGGGGUGGAAAGUUUUUCGGCUAGAGAUGGGCCCGCGGCCUAUCAGCUUGUUGGUGGGGUGAUGGCCUACCAAGGCGACGACGGGUAGCCGGCCUGAGAGGGCGGCCGGCCACACUGGGACUGAGAUACGGCCCAGACUCCUACGGGAGGCAGCAGUGGGAAUAUUGCGCAAUGGGCGGAAGCCUGACGCAGCGACGCCGCGUGGGGGAUGACGGCCU